AACUAUUAGUAUACACUUGUAUUCACACACACACACACACACACACACAGAGCCCAUAAUUACACAGCCAAGAUCAUGCAGCUCUACCAGCCUCAGCUUUUUAUCAUCUUUUUUUUUGUCCUCUUUGACAUGACUCAGGGCUCCUGGCAGCUGGUCAAAGUUAUUCCUGCUGAGAACGACAACGUGUAUCAAUGUAUAACAGAACCGGAGAUGGAAAACCCAAAAUACACCUGGAGAAGAGAGCACCAAUCUGGACUUCCAAAAGGAGUCAGAGCAGAAGGGGACAGGCUGUAUUUCAUGCACUUUAAUCCAGAACACACCGGUCUAUACAUCUGUGAGGUUGUGAACCAUGAAGGUGCUGCAUCUGGUGCAAUCUAUCGGCACAUCAGAGAGGUGCAUUCCGAGCUUUAACAGAAAUCGUGAAACAGCUUCCAUGAAGAAUGUGAAAAAAUACUCCUGAAAAUAAAGAAGACUGAGGAUGAAACUUCUGUUCUAUUAAUGCUCCAAAUAUAACCCAUGUGCUGCGAAAUAUUUAGCUAGUAUUAUUAUUGUUAUUAAUGCUGUCCUGUGAAUGUGACAGGAUAAAGACAGCUUUGUCAAAGACUGAUACAAGUUUCAAAAUACAAUAUUUCUUCAUAAAAUUAAAAACACCAGUAUUUCAUGAUAUAAAGUUACUCACAUUGAUUUCAUAGUACUGUUGAUUCAUUGGGCUAAGAAAUAUUUAUUAGUAUGUUGAAAUUUCAUUUACGCCACAAUAGAUGUGUAUUUCAUUUUGUCUCAUGUGGGUUUUGGUAAGGAUCUAUGACUCCCAAAUCAGUCAGUGCUCAUUUCCUCAUUCCAGUAAAAUCCUUGGCCAAUAAAAUGUACCUACUCUUCAGUCAGGAAGUUUUGCAGGGGUUUAACAGAAACAGCUUUUUCAAUCUGAGCUGUCAUCUAACCUUGACCCCUCUGUAGAUUCUCUGAAUAAUUCCAUCCUUACUCAAAGUGUGUUAGUGAAUGGCCUCCUUAAAUCUUCGAGUUGAGCUUAUUGUUUAUUAUUUCCAUCCACAGAAACAGCUGUUUUUAUGUGGUCAUUGUGAUAUAAAUUCCACUCAGCUAAUUAUAUGACUUGUGAUGACUGCCGGUCAAACUAAUUAAGAGCUUGCAAAACAACAGUGGUGGAAGUGGUAGCUUAGCACUUAAGGUGGACUUUCGUUCCAAAAGUUGUGAGUUUGAAUCCCUGGACCACCAAGCUGGAACCCUGAACAAGGCCCUUAACCCUCAAUUGCUCACGGAUAUAAAUAAGAUCAAUGUAAGUUGCUCUAGAAAGGACUAAAUGCUUGAAAUAUAUAUAUAUUUAUCUCCAGCUUUGCAAUAUUAUGUGCAGUGUUAUUAUGAAAUGAAAUAAAUGUAAGCACUCUAUAUAGUUAAUUUAAAGUAGGUUAUUUUUAAAGUAAAGUAAGGAAGCAUGUCACAUGUUAAGUCACAUGAUUUCACAGAAAGGUGGUGUACAUGUGUGAUAUGUUGUGUAAUAUGUACUACUAAUGUACUCAUCUGCCAAAAUCACCUACAUUAUAUUAAAGAUGGUUUCUCAUAUAGUGCAGUAAUGAAAGGUAGCAUGUAGAUAAGUGUAGGUAGCGUACGUUUGCUUGCUACUGGGCAAGAGGACUCUAUAUACUUAAUAAAAAUGUACUGUAGCAAGUAUCUUGAAUAUAGUCUGAAUGAUCUAGUAGUAUUUCCUAUUAAACGAUCAAGAUGAUUAAUCCUGUUACUAGUGUGGGAAAACAAAUUUUCUAGUGUUCUGGCAGAGGAAGGAUCACUAACCUAUUCGGGAAAGGUCUCGCAACCAAAUGGGUCGCAAAUCUUAGUGGGUAAACAUAGUCUCUAAUAGGGGUACGGGAAAUGAGGGGUUUAUAUUAACAUACACUGCAUGAAAAGAGGUGUAUCUGUACCAGGAUACUCCUGUAUACACCACUGAUUUUCGGAAGUAUCUGCAAGUACCACUGACUGUAUACAUCAAAUUCCACCAAGCUAGGAUACUUCCAGAAUGAUACCAAUUCGGAUGAAUCUUGCUGAGGUAUUCUACCAUGGUACAGCCAUUUGUUGCCAUGGCAAGUAAUCCACUCAAAGAUUUUGUCAGGAGACAUUCACACCUCAAGACCCAUUUGCAUUUUACACCUUUGCACAAUUCUGCUGUUCGCUAUUGGUCUUUUAUCUCAACAUUGAUUGGUUGUCUAGUGGGACAUUACCCAGUCCCUUUCCUGUUAAUAUUAUUUAUUUAUAUUAUUAUACUUUUUAUUUAGCCCAACCCAAGCCCUCAUAGCUUAGUGACUCGAUUGGUUAUUGGGCAGGUAUGUAGAUAGACCCUAUCCACACACCCCCACUGUACUAUACAUCCCCCACACCCUUCAAAAAAUGAGAACAGAAUUGAUUCAGAAAUUUUUUAUUAAAAUUAAACCAAACACUAAUAAAUAUAAAAAGCAAAGUAAGAAUAAGGGAAAAACAGAAAAUACGGAAAAAAUGAACAAAUGUGCGAUUAUAAAAAGGUGCAAUACUAAAACAAACACAUGCACCAGUAUGUUAGAGUUCCAAAAACGAAUGUCUUUCUGGCUCGGUUCUAUUAACUCUUACACACUGAAGGUGUGUAAGAGUGUAGCACAUAUCCGCCUCCAGUCUGCGUUGAAGCUGCUGGCAAAGCUCCGACAAUUGUGGGUUCCUGUGAGGUGGAGACCUUGCAACCCACACCGGUCUUCCAUCAACCAUGGCAUCCUCCUCAUCGGACAUCAGUUCCAGCAUUGCAGUCUGCCACAGUUCUCUCUCUGUAUCUGUUUGAAUGACCCUAGUCCUGGACUCCAGCAACUGCAAAACACACAAUACGUUAACCCCUAAAAACACCCAGAGAUGUACCGAACUUAAUACAUAGAUGAAUUUCUAUACUUACUCAUCUUUUCCUUUGUCUGUUUUUAGCCCCUGCCUUAAUGGAGUCUCUUAGCUGGGACUUUCCUGGCUGAGACAAAGAGUAUUUCCUGCGCAAUGUCUCAUAGUCCUGCAACAUGCUGAAUAAAAAAAAAUAAUUCAGAUAAGUGACAGAAACAAUUAAAAUUAUUAGAUGGACAAAAAUUAAUGGGACACGAAAAUAAUUACAGUAACAGUUUCUGAUUCCCCUUUAUACACUCAGGGUCUGUAAAAGUCGUCUUUAAUUCCUCCAGCAGAUAUUUCAUCACUGCCUGUUUAUGAGGUGAACUUAUUCUGUGUGGAAAGAGAGUAGUAUCAUUAAUUACACUUAAAAUGAUUAUGUAAAACCUCAUACAUAGCAUGUAAAAAACAGCAUUCUUACCCAGUUUGUGGAUCAUAUUUAUGUGGGUUGUUUUCCGAAUUAUGGAGGCGCCUUACAGCUUCCUGUAACGUUGAAUUAAAAACACUUUAAUACAUACACACAUACAUACAACAAAGACUUUUCAAACAUCGUAUAAUUGAACAAACUGUUAAAUAAUCUGGACACCUACACCCACGUUAUGCACCCUCUUAACUCUUUUAUGCCCAUGGCUCGACUCUUCCUGAGGUCUUUCCUCGUCGAACUUGCGCAGCUUGCUUCUCCAUCAAACCCUCAAGCUGACGAGACAAAGCGCUCUGACCGGAGAUCAGCUGCUUCAUCAAGUCAUUCAUUCUCAGUGGGCUUGAUGCUGUUUGCUGACCCUUAGUCACGGGAGUAGAAAAGCUUAGGUUUCUUUUGCACGCCAUCACAAAUAGUAUUUCGUACUUCCACCAAGACGCAUUUCGUGAGAAUAACUUCCGUAAACAAUGCUGACAAUUUAAAAACAACCUUCCCCAUUCGAUGGUUUCCACGACACCCCGCCCACCCCUGUCAAUGAAUUGUUUGUAUUUAUUCUGGGGGAAAAUAUAAUACAUGUUGCCUGUCAUCAUGGAAUGGCGUUUGAGGUCGCCUGUGGAUCUGUUGAGAAGAAAGAGAGCCCGGCGGUUUUGUGAUCACUGCAACAAUAUUGUUUCACAUGCCAAUUUUUAUCGUCACAAAAAAAUGUUUUUUCGCAAUGGAGUUUGGAUCAAAGAUGCUACAACCCAAGACAACUCAAGAGUGGAAAAAAACUAUUGAGUUAGAAGAUUGUGCACGUGAUGAAAGCCUUGAUCCAUCAGAAGUGGAAAACGCAGUCUGGGAUGUCCACUUAGGUAAGUUAUUGAAUUUAUUUUAUCUAUGUCAGCAAGCAAAAUGAUUUAUAAAUGUUUGACUUAAUUCGCACAGAAUAUUCAGAUAUAUAGUCUGUUUGUUUCUGUAGGCCUAAGGAUGUUUGAAUCACAGCUUACCCCAAAAGAACUUCAUUUAUUCAUUUGUUCAUUUAUGUGCUCUUUUUGUUAGGAAUAGUGUAUGUUCAUAAUCUAGUUAAGUUGUUUUUAUAGCAUAUAAAAUUAACCAUUUGUUGAAACUUGUAUAUAUUAUACAACUUAGGAUAUAUGUUAUAUAAAUAUAUAACUGUUAUGAUCUUCAACAUUUGACAAUGUACAAUAAAACUAUAUAAAAUCUAGAGCACUGAAGAGCACAAUAAUGUUAAAAAGAGAAGAAUCCUGUUAGGCUUAGGUAAUAAACUGUUUCUAUCUUGAUUUGCAAAUGUGGCCAUUAGACGUAAUGUCUGCUGACCAAAUAGCUUUAGUUAUUGUUAUGAAUGGCCCAUCAGCACAUACAUAUGAUAAUGCAGUGAUGAAGUGCCUGUUAACAGUAACCUACGGUGAACAUUGACAUGACAAUACAUAUUACCAUGGUUUUGUGAUUGUAAUGGUAUUGUGAUCUUUGGGUGUUUGGGUUGAUUAGCUUGUAAACACAAAUAAUCUUUUUUUACAGAGAACUUUAGCAGCCUAGAAGAAGGAAAUCUGUGCAUGCCUGAGGAAGACAUGCAUUUCAAUGAAAAUCCAGAUUCACUGGAAGGACAGCUUAAUUUAUCAUCAGUUUCUGAUGACAGCAAUGAGCUCAGGCUUUUCCUGGAGCCCAGUGAAACAUAGUCUUCAGAUGAUGAUAGUGACAGUGAAGAGGCAGUCUUUACAGAUGAGCAGGACCAUGAAGAUUCGGAUUUGGCUGAAGAUGAUAACACUGAAGCAGAUACAACCAAUGGUGAUGACGCCAGGCUCCUAGCAUUCAUGCUUUUAACCUGGCAAGCUGUAUUCAACAUAUCAGACAAUGCCAUCACUGCAUUGCUGCUAUGCCUCAGACACUUUAUGUGGGUAAUUGGAAAUAUUCUUUCUGCUGAUUUGCUUAGCAGUUUUGCUGAUAUGAUUCCCAAGAUUUACAUUCACUAAGGAAAUUGACCAAUAUUAACAGAGACAACUUCUGCGAAUAUGCUGUCUGUCCCAAGUGUAAGUCCACAUAUACACUUACUGAGUGUUAUCAUAUCGCCAGGAAUGGUUCAGCUACUAGUAAAAUAUGUGGAUAUAUUCCAUUUUACAAGCAUCCACACAAGACAUCUGCCCUGAGAAAGAAAUGUGGCUCUCUCUUAAUGACCAAAGUUACACGUUUCAAUGGCACAGAAAGUCUUUACCCAAAAUAAACCUAUUGUUAUAAGAAAGUAAUUCAGUCUUUGGAAACUUUGAUUAGAAGACCUGGAUUUUUGGAAAGUGUGAGAAGUGGAGACAAAGACGAAUUCCUGACUCUGUUAUGGCAGAUGUUUAUGAUGGACAGAUUUGGACAGACUUUCAGUAUGUAAAUUGGACAGCCAUUUUUAGCAGAGCCAAACCGUUUUGCUCUUAUGAUGAAUGUUGAUUGGUAUCAACCCUUCAAGAAUUCCCCAUAUUCAGUAGGGGUCAUAUACCUGGCCAUUUUGAAUAUGCCAUGAGAGGAGUGUUUUAAGGAGAUCAUAAUUUUAGUUGGAGUUAUACCAGGACCUACAGAACCGAAGAACAUUAUUAACACUUAUCUUGACCCUUUGGUGGAUAAGCUUCGUGAGCUGUGGGAUGGAGUUCCCAUAUUUAAUCCUUCAAUUUUGGGGUGCCAAGUGUACAGAGCGGCUCUUCUGUGCCUUUCAUCAGACAUUCAAGCUUCACACAAGUGUGGUGGCUUUGUGGGCCAUGGAGCUUUAAGAGGAUGUAACAAAUGUCUGAAAACAUUCAAGAAAACAUCCUUUGGGGGGGAAACAGACUUCUCUGGCUUUGACCGUUCAUCUUGGGCCCCUCACACUUCAGAGGCGUACAAGCUGUGUGCUAAAAUGACAGAGAAGGCAACCGCAAAGGCAGCCCAAAAAAGACUGGAAGCUCAGUAUGGUGCCAGGUGGUCUGAACUUUUUCACCUUAAGUAUUAUAAUGCCAUAAGAUUUGUUGUCAUUGACCCAAUGCAUAAUCUACUUGGACAGCCAGGCACAUAUUCAGGUUAUGGACUGAACUUGGUCACACUAAAGAGAAGGUCUCAGUAGUAAUUCCACUAUGCACAGUGGUUGAGAUUUAGGCCAAUGUAAUUACAAAACCUUGUUUGUUUAUAUUGUUAUUGUGCAUUUUCAUUAUUUUUUGUCAUUAUCUGUAAAUGUAAACCUUUACAAUAAACCUUUUUUGUGAUAUUCU